rnacentral:miRNA from 1 species
GCUGGGCGUGGUGGCGGGCGCCUGUGAUCCCAGCUACUCGGGAGGCUGAGGCAGGAGAAUCGCUUGAACCUUGGAGGCGGAGGUUGCAGUGAGC